GACGAGGGGUCCUAGCGUUGUUCGGAAUCACUGGGCGUAAAGCGUUUGUAGGCGGCUCUAUAAGUCGGGUGUGAAAUCCCAUGGCUCAACCAUGGAAGUGCAUUCGAAACUGUAGGGCUUGAAUAUGGAAGAGGAGAGUAGAAUUCCUGGUGUAGUGGUGAAAUACGUAGAUAUCAGGAGGAAUACCGGUGGCGAAGGCGGCUCUCUGGUCCAAUAUUGACGCUGAGAAACGAAAGUGCGGGGAUCAAAC
rnacentral:rRNA from 1 species